CAGUCCCAUGAAUAGGGUGUGCAAGCUGGAGAUACAGGCAGUAAGGACUGCACCCGGCUGUCCAGACCUGGCAUCAGCACUGUCAGACCAAUCGAGUCUCCUGCUGGCAGUCCUGUUUAAGGUUUAUGAUGUGUUAUAUCAUCUUGGCUUUAGAAGAGCUUAAAGGAUUCAUAAAAUGAUCAAGGAUGUUCUUGUCGAACAGGGAUCGCUAACAGGCAAUUUCGAGGGGGAGUUCUCCAGGUGGAGGAGGAGCAAGUCUGGGACCCUUGGGAGCUGCAAGAAGAACUGAAUCAGCAGCGAACAUCACAAUUUCAUGGACAAAUAGUGAGAACCUGUUCGAAGUGGCUGUUGGCAUUCAUGGAACAGCUGCACAUGGUGGAGCGAUUUUUCUGGGCUCAAGAAACGAGCACUGACUGCUGGGAUCACAUCAUGGCGCAGGCUUGGGUUAAUGAGCAGGGGCUGCAACAUUUUCGUUAUGUGCCAGGCCACAUUUCUGGAUCUGUGUGCUGAGCACACCCCAGCCUCCUAGCACCGGGAGAGCAAAAUGAGAGCUACACUGACACUGGAGAAGCAAGUGGAGAUUACACUGUGGAGACUUGCAACACCGAAUUUCUACCGCUCAGUGGGAAAUCACCUUGGAGUUGAUGUACAUCUUUGAAUAUAACACUUUCAAUGCACCAACUAAUUUUGUGGUACUUGCUGCACAUUUAUAGUUACUACACUGUUUGCCACUGAUCCUAUUAGCUCUGUCACACUGUACAAUAACAAGUAAGUGGAUGCUUUCAGUAUCACUAGGCACUCUGCAGCAUAUGUUGUGAACUAAUAAAGUUGAAUUAUUUCCCAAGUAUAGAACUUUAAUGAGUAAU